UACGUAGGGUGCAAGCGUUGUCCGGAAUUAUUGGGCGUAAAGAGCUUGUAGGCGGUUUGUCGCGUCUGCUGUGAAAUUUCGGGGCUCAACCCCGAACUUGCAGUGGGUACGGGCAGACUAGAGUGUGGUAGGGGAGACUGGAAUUCCUGGUGUAGCGGUGAAAUGCGCAGAUAUCAGGAGGAACACCUAUGGCGAAAGCGGCUCUCUGGAACGGUACUGACGCUGAGACGCGAAAGCGUGGGGAGCGAACAGG
rnacentral:rRNA from 1 species